rnacentral:lncRNA from 1 species
CGCAUGAAUAAGGAUCCACGGAGGCUCCCACACAGCGCACCAUUCCUGAAAUAUGUGACUAACAUUUGCCUUUGCAGUCCACGCGUGCUGCGAGCUAAGGGUCUCUUCUGAUUCUGCACCUCUUCCCAUGAAACGCUGGAUGCUAGUAACAUAAGAAACAAACCUAUUUCUAGCACCAUUUUUUUUUUGGCCCCACCCCGUGACUUGCAGGAUCUCAGCUGCCUGACCAGGGAUUGAACCCCAGGCAGGCCACCGCCCGAAUCCUAAUCACUGACUGCCAGGGAAUUUCCUGCAGGAGACCAAGUCUUGAAGACUUGUCUUCACAGCUCAUCCGUGUUGAAGCAUGUAUCAGAGCUUCAUUCCUUUCUAAGGCUGAACCAUCUUCACCAAGAUCCCUGGCCAGGGGCUGGACGUCCUGGAGCCAUGAGAGAGGGCACUUGGGGAAAAGAUGGAGAUACUCGAGGAAACAAUACACAGUAUUUAUCUAAGUCUGCGAGGAAAUUGCAACCUGUGGGGUUGAGGCGAACGAUGGACGCGCUGUCUCCUGCUUCAUGUGAGUAGCUCUAGUUUAUACACCUUUAGAUUGCCUUUGGGAACCUUGGAUCGGAGGCCAGGCAGCUGGAUUUCAUUGAUACCUCCAUCGCUCUUCCUCCCAGCGGCCACAGCCUGGCCCAGCAACACGUUGCACACAACGCUUUGACUUUCAGACAAUAAAGGAGGGUCUCUCACAAGGAAGCUGUCUCAGAUACAGUCUGUGUGCUCUACAGUGAUUUCAGCGUUGAUUGGAGAAGAAACGUUCCUCUUUUUAUAUUUUUAGGCUGACAACACGACUGCCAACAGAGCCUUUACAAAACAGGACAUAGCCUGAAACAAUAAUAUUAGGUGUUUCUCUUACAAUGCACUUACGUAGGAAGGAUCUGGAUGUGUAAGGAAGUAUAAUUAGAACAUAAUUUUAAAAACUCAGCAGAACCCAAUAAAUCUCAGAAAUGGCUAGCAUAUGGGGGUGGGGUGGGAGG